GAGUGGGGGGCGGGCCUAUACAUGCAAGUCGAACGAGUUCUGAUUAUUGAAAGGUGCUUGCAUCUUCGAUUUAAUUUUGAACGAGUGGCGGACGGGUGAGUAACACGUCCGUAACCUGCCCUUAAGUAAGGGAUAACAGGUGGAAACAGAUGCUAAUACCGCAUAAAUCCAAGAACCGCAUGGUUCUUGGCUGAAAGAUGGCGUAAGCUAUCGCUUUUGGAUGGACCCGCGGCGUAUUAGCUAGUUGGUGAGGUAACGGCUCACCAAGGCAAUGAUACGUAGCCGAACUGAGAGGUUGAUCGGCCACAUUGGGACUGAGACACGGCCCAAACUCCUACGGGAGGCAGCAGUAGGGAAUCUUCCACAAUGGACGCAAGUCUGAUGGAGCAACGCCGCGUGAGUGAAGAAGGCUUUCGGGUCGUAAAACUCUGUUGUUGGAGAAGAAUGGUCGGCAGAGUAACUGUUGUCGGCGUGACGGUAUCCAACCAGAAAGCCACGGCUAACUACGUGCCAGCAGCCGCGGUAAUACGUAGGUGGCAAGCGUUAUCCGGAUUUAUUGGGCGUAAAGCGAGCGCAGGCGGUUUUUUAAGUCUGAUGUGAAAGCCCUCGGCUUAACCGAGGAAGUGCAUCGGAAACUGGGAAACUUGAGUGCAGAAGAGGACAGUGGAACUCCAUGGUGUAGCGGUGGAGAUGCGUACAUAUAUGGAAGAGCACCA
rnacentral:rRNA from 1 species